rnacentral:rRNA from 1 species
UACGUAGGGUGCAAGCGUUGUCCGGAAUUAUUGGGCGUAAAGAGCGUGUAGGCGGCCCCGUUAGUCCGCUGUGAAAGCCCAGGGCUCAACCCUGGGAGGCGGGUGGAUACUACAGAACUGGAGUACGGAAGAGGAGAUUGGAAUUCCUGGUGUAGCGGUGAAAUGCGCAGAUAUCAGGAGGAACACCGGUGGCGAAGGCGGGUCUCUGGGCAGUAACUGACGCUGAGGAGCGAAAGCGUGGGUAGCAAACAGG